rnacentral:rRNA from 1 species
CAAUAGCGUAUAUUAAAGUUGUUGCAGUUAAAAAGCUCGUAGUUGGAUUUCGGGAUGGCCCGGCCGGUCUGCCGCAAGGUAUGUUACUGGCCGAGCUGUUCUUCUUCGCAAAGACUGUGUGUGCUCUUAACUGAGUGUGCUCAGGAUCUGUGACGUUUACUUUGAAAAAAUUAGAGUGUUCAAAGCAAGCCAGCGCUUGAAUACAUAAGCAUGGAAUAAUGGAAUAGGACUUUGGUUCUAUUUUGUUGGUUUCUGGAACCUUAGUAAUGAUUAAGAGAGACAGUUGGGGGCAUUCGUAUUUCGUUGUCAGAGGUGAAAUUCUUGGAUUUACGAAAGACGAACUACUGCGAAAGCAUUUGCCAAGAAUGUCUUCAUUAA